rnacentral:rRNA from 1 species
GUAGGUGGCAAGCGUUGUCCGGAAUUAUUGGGCGUAAAGCGCGCGCAGGCGGUUCUUUAAGUCUGAUGUGAAAGCCCACGGCUCAACCGUGGAGGGUCAUUGGAAACUGGAGAACUUGAGUGCAGAAGAGGAAAGCGGAAUUCCACGUGUAGCGGUGAAAUGCGUAGAGAUGUGGAGGAACACCAGUGGCGAAGGCGGCUUUCUGGUCUGUAACUGACGCUGAGGCGCGAAAGCGUGGGGGAGCAAACAGGAUUAGAUACCCUGGUAGUCCACGCCGUAAACGAUGAGUACUAAGUGUUAGGGGGUUUCCGCCCCCCUUAGUGCUGCAGCUAACGCAUUAAGCACUCCGCCCUGGGAGUACGGCCGCAAGGCUG